UCGCGGCUUAUCACCGGCAGUCCCCCUAGAGUGCCCAACUGAAUGAUGGCAACUAGGGGCGAGGGUUGCGCUCGUUGCGGGACUUAACCCAACAUCUCACGACACGAGCUGACGACAGCCAUGCAGCACCUGUGUUCAGGUCUCUUGCGAGAAGGAAUCCGUCUCCGGAAGCCGUCCUGCCAUGUCAAGGGCUGGUAAGGGGAGUGGAGACAUUCCUCUUCAGUU
rnacentral:misc_RNA from 1 species